GUUCCCGGAGCCAAAGGCUGAAACUGGUUUCGAUAAUUUGAAAUUAGGAACUAGCAUAAACUAGUGACGCUAUCGAUAAUCGAUUCCGGUACAGCUCUAAUAAUCGAUAAGCCGAAAAGCAAAAUGGCAGACGUAGAAAAGGAAACCGAGAAGAAAAUCUUGUAAAUAAUCCGUAAAAAAAUUGCAUAUUUGUCGCAAACAUUAUGCCAAUUGCGCGAAACGCGAGUGCAUAAUAAACGUAACGUGCAAUUAAUUUGCUACGUCCAUUUUAACCACUAGCAAGUGCUCGCGUGUGUGUCUGCGGCGGCAAAAGCAAAGCCCAGAGAGUAAUAUAUCCCAAUCAAAAUUCGCUCGAACGCGACAACCAAAACAGGCAAACAAAGCAACAAAUGUGGCGACAAUGCCAACUAGCGGGCACGGGCAUCAUUUCAAAUACAUUCAAAAAAUGUGCAAUUUCCAAAAACAAAUAAUAUUACUACAAUAAAAAACGCGCAGUGAGCAGAAAACUUUAAGAAAAACACACACAAGGUGCGUGCAAAAACAAAAAUACGCAAGUGAAGAAGAACGCAGAAACAGACGAAACACACAGCGAAAACAAACGCGGGGAGGGGCAGCGGCAGCGCGCAUUAUUGCUCUGAGCAGUGCACGGCACAGACUGCAAAGUGGCGGCGCUACUCGGGAUUAGUGCUGGUGCAGCGGCAGCGGCGUCCAUGUUAAACGGGCGGCAGCAGCAGCAGCACAACAACAACAACAAAAAUACCAACAACAACAACAGCAACAGCAGCAACAAUAAUAACAAUACAAUUUAUAACAACAACAAGCAGCAGCAGAAGCAGCAGCAACAACAACAGCCGGCGGUGUGGUUGUGGUGUCGCCAAUUGUGGCCUUAAGCAUGUAGUCGCACUUGGCACAGUCGAGCAGCAAACGCGUGCGGUCUAGGUGAACCUCUCAGCAGCAGGUUCCAGUAGGCAAACCCAUCAACAACAACAACAACAACAACAACAACAUAUACAUACACACAAAGUUAAAGAACACACAAAACGCAACAC